GAUGAACGCUAGCGGGAGGCCUAACACAUGCAAGCCGAGCGGUAUUUGUUCUUCGGAACCGAGAGAGCGGCGCACGGGUGCGGAACACGUGUGCAACCUGCCUUUAUCUGGGGGAUAGCCUUUCGAAAGGAAGAUUAAUACCCCAUAAUAUAUUGAGUGGCAUCAUUUGUUAUUGAAAACUCCGGUGGAUAGAGACGGUCACGCGCAAGAUUAGAUAGUUGGUGAGGUAACGGCUCACCAAGUCAAUGAUCUUUAGGGGGCCUGAGAGGGUGACCCCCCACACUGGUACUGAGACACGGACCAGACGACUACGGGAGGCAGCAGUGAGGAAGAUUCGACAGAGAGUUAGAGCCUGAUCCAGCCGUCCCGCGUGAAGAACGACGGCCCUAGGAGUUGUAAUCUUCUUUUGUAUAGGGAUAAACCUACUAUCGUGAGAGUAGCUGAAGGUACUAUACGAAUAAGCACCGGCUAACUCCGUG
rnacentral:rRNA from 1 species